UCUGGGGCCCAGGACUCUGAACACUGAUAAGGCAGCCCCACCACCCCCAUCUCCUAAUCUACACCAUGCUGCUUCCUUCCGAUAAAUAUGAGAACUGGCGCGUCGACACUUCAAAAGGGAGAUGGAUUUAAGGCAAGAGAGGGAAAAAAAGAAGAUAAAGAGUGAUUCCAAAGACCUGAGAAACCAAACCUUUUGGUCCCUGAGGAAGAAUCACUGAAAGAGGGGUGGGUUCCUUAUAAAGUCCUUGGGGCUGGAGCCCAAGCCAAAUACAACCGAAGCAUCCUCUCCUAAGGAUAGCAUGUCAGCCCACGCUCUCCACCUGGCCCUCCCCUCCAGGUCCGGUCCUCAGCGAAGAUGAACCGGGUGGGGUUAGUGGAGUGUUCAAAAGCUAAGAAAAGGCUAGAGGAAAAAUCGGGCCAUCCCC